UUGAACGCUGGCGGCAUGCCUUACACAUGCAAGUCGAACGGUAACAGGUCUUCGGAUGCUGACGAGUGGCGAACGGGUGAGUAAUACAUCGGAACGUGCCCGAUCGUGGGGGAUAACGAGGCGAAAGCUUUGCUAAUACCGCAUACGAUCUACGGAUGAAAGCGGUGGAUCUUCGGACCUCGCGCGGACGGAGCGGCCGAUGGCAGAUUAGGUAGUUGGUGGGAUAAAAGCUUACCAAGCCGACGAUCUGUAGCUGGUCUGAGAGGAUGAUCAGCCACACUGGGACUGAGACACGGCCCAGACUCCUACGGGAGGCAGCAGUGGGGAAUUUUGGACAAUGGGCGAAAGCCUGAUCCAGCCAUGCCGCGUGCAGGAUGAAGGCCUUCGGGUUGUAAACUGCUUUUGUACGGAACGAAAAGCCUCUUUCUAAUAAAGAGGGGUCAUGACGGUACCGUAAGAAUAAGCACCGGCUAACUACGUG
rnacentral:rRNA from 1 species